rnacentral:tRNA from 1 species
GCAGGUAUAGUUCAAUGGUAGAGUGCGUGCCUAGUGUGCAUAAGGUGCUGGAUUCAAUCCCCAGUACCUCCA